AUACGUAGGGGGCGAGCGUUGUCCGGAAUGAUUGGGCGUAAAGGGUGCGUAGGCGGCUUUGCAAGUCAGUAGUGGAAGUCCAUUUUUCAAGGAUGGAAGUGCUACAGAAACUGCGGAGCUUGAGUGCAGGAGAGGAUAUCGGAAUUCCCGGUGUAGCGGUGAAAUGCGUAGAGAUUGGGAGGAACACCAGUGGCGAAGGAGACUUACUGGGCCGUAACAUACGCUGAGGCGCGAAAGCGUGGGGAGCGAACAGGAUUAGAUACCCUGGUAGUCCACGCGGUAAACGAUGAAUGCUAGGUGUUGCGGGUAUCGACCCCUGCAGUGCCGGAGUAAACACAAUAAGCAUUCCGCCUGGGGAGUACGGCCGCAAGGUUGAAACUCAAAGGAAUUGACGGGG
rnacentral:rRNA from 1 species